rnacentral:rRNA from 1 species
ACAGAGGGUGCAAGCGUUAAUCGGAAUUAUUGGGCGUAAAGGGUGCGUAGGCGGCGAAGUUAGUCAGAUGUGAAAGCCCAAGGCUUAACCUUGGAAUUGCAUUUGAUACUACUAAGCUAGAGUAUAUGUAGAGGAAAGCGGAAUUCCUAGUGUAGCGGUGAAAUGCGUAGAUAUUAGGAAGAACACUGGUGGCGAAGGCGGCUUUCUGGACUAAUACUGACGUUGAGGCACGAAAGCGUGGGGAGCAAACAGG